rnacentral:rRNA from 1 species
UACGGAGGGGGCUAGCGUUGUUCGGAAUUACUGGGCGUAAAGCGCGCGCAGGCGGUCCUUCAAGUCAGAGGUGAAAGCCCAGAGCUCAACUCUGGAAUGGCCUUUGAGACUAGAGGACUUGGGUACGGGAGAGGUGAGUGGAAUUCCGAGUGUAGAGGUGAAAUUCGUAGAUAUUCGGAAGAACACCAGUGGCGAAGGCGGCUCACUGGCCCGUUACCGACGCUCAGGCGCGACAGCGUGGGGAGCAAACAGG